rnacentral:rRNA from 1 species
UACAGAGGUCUCAAGCGUUGUUCGGAUUCAUUGGGCGUAAAGGGUGCGUAGGUGGCGCCGUAAGUCAGGUGUGAAAUCUCGGGGCUCAACCCCGAAACUGCAUUUGAUACUGCGGUGCUCGAGUACUGGAGAGGAGAUUGGAAUUUACGGUGUAGCAGUGAAAUGCGUAGAUAUCGUAAGGAAGACCAGUGGCGAAGGCGAAUCUCUGGACAGUUACUGACACUGAGGCACGAAGGCCAGGGGAGCAAACGGG